AUUGAACGCUGGCGGCAGGCCUAAUACAUGCAAGUCGAACGGUAACAUAAAAGAAGCUUGCUUCUUUUGAUGACGAGUGGCGGACGGGUGAGUAAUAUUUGGGAAACUACCUGAUAGAGGGGGACAACAGUUGGAAAUGACUGCUAAUACCGCAUGAAGCAUAGGGGUCGCAUGAUUCUUAUGCCAAAGAUUUAUCGCUUCAAGAUGGCCUCGCGUCUGAUUAGCUAGUUGGCGGGGUAACGGCCCACCAAGGCGACGAUCAGUAGCCGGACUGAGAGGUUGAACGGCCACAUUGGGACUGAGAUACGGCCCAGACUCCUACGGGAGGCAGCAGUGGGGAAUAUUGGGCAAUGGGCGCAAGCCUGACCCAGCAACGCCGCGUGAAGGAAGAAGGCUUUCGGGUUGUAAACUUCUUUUAAGAGGGAAGAGCAGAAGACGGUACCUCUAGAAUAAGCCACGGCUAACUACGUG
rnacentral:rRNA from 1 species